rnacentral:rRNA from 1 species
CACGUAGGGCGCGAGCGUUGUCCGGAAUUAUUGGGCGUAAAGAGCUCGUAGGCGGCCUGUUGCGUCCGCUGUGAAAGCCCGGGGCUUAACCCCCGGGUCGGCAGUGGAUACGGGCAUCGCUGGAGUGCGGCAGGGGAGACUGGAAUUCCUGGUGUAGCGGUGGAAUGCGCAGAUAUCAGGAGGAACACCGGUGGCGAAGGCGGGUCUCUGGGCCGUUACUGACGCUGAGGAGCGAAAGCGUGGGGAGCGAACAGG